rnacentral:rRNA from 1 species
CAUGUCCUUUUGAGAAUAAUUUAAGGUCUGAUCUGCUCAAUGAAAUUUAAAUUGCCGCAGUAUUUUGACUGUGCAAAGGUAGCAUAAUAAUUAGUUUUUUAAUUAAGAACUGGUAUGAAUGAUUUGACAAGAAAAUUACUGUCUCUUUUUUAAUUUUUAUUGAAUUUUAUUUUUAAGUGAAAAAGCUUAAAUUUUUAUAAAAGACGAGAAGACCCUAUAGAGUUUAAUAUUCUUAGCAAUUUAAAUAUAGAAUUUUUUUUUGUUAAAGUUUAUUUAGUUGGGGUGAUUUGAAGAUUUAAUAAAUUCUUUAAGAUAAAAAUUAGUGAUUUCUAAAAUAAUAUUCUAUAUUUUAUAAGUUUAAAAUAAAUUACCUUAGGGAUAACAGCGUUAUUUUUCUUUAAAGUUCUUAUUAAAAGAAAAGUUUGCGACCUCGAUGUUGGAUUAAAGUUAAUUUUUGGUGCAAUAACUAAAAAAUUAGGUCUGUUCGACCUUUAAAACUUUACAUGAUCUGAGUUUAAACCGGUGUAAACCAGGUUGGAUUCUAUCUUUAAAUAGUUAAUAUAUUUUAGUACGAAAGGACCAAAUAUUUAUUAAAUUA